AAGUCGUAACAAGGUUUCCGUAGGUGAACCUGGAAGGAUCAUUAACACGUAUCCAAACGUUAAAACCCCCCCCCGUGAACCUUCAUCCUGCUCUUGUAACCCGCGGUAGUUCUAUAGGCAAUGUUUCCCCAAGCAGUCAGUGUCGGAAAGUGUCAUUGAUUGUGCAAGGAUACUCGGGCAGGAGCUUUGCCAAAGGGUCCCCAUGCCCCCUAAUAACCCCACAGUUUAAUGUGAAGCUCAGUGUAAUACAUUGGGUAAAAAAACCGAACAACUGUUAACAAUGGAUAUCUUGGUUCUC
rnacentral:misc_RNA from 1 species